UGGGGAAUUUUGUGCAAUGGGGGAAACCCUGACACAGCGACACCGCGUGAGCGAAGAAGCCCUUUGGGGUGUAAAGCUCUGUCAGCUGGAACGAAAAAAAUGACGGUACCAGCAGAGGAAGCAUCGGCUAACUACGUGCCAGCAGCCGCGGUAAGACGUAGGAUGCGAGCGUUGUCCGGAUUUAUUGGGCGUAAAGAGUUCGUAGGUGGUUUGUUAAGUCUGAUGUUAAAGACUGAGGCUCAACCUCGGAAAUGCAUUGGAUACUGGCAGACUCGAGUGUAGUAGAGGCAAGCGGAAUUCCAGGUGUAGCGGUGAAAUGCGUAGAUAUCUGGAAGAACACCAGUGGCGUAAGCGGCUUGCUGGGCUAUAACUGACACUGAGGAACGAAAGCCAGGGUAGCGAAUGG
rnacentral:rRNA from 1 species